UACGAAGGGGGCUAGCGUUGCUCGGAAUCACUGGGCGUAAAGCGCACGUAGGCGGACUCUUAAGUCGGUGGUGAAAUCCUGGAGCUCAACUCCAGAACUGCCUUCGAUACUGGAGAGCUUGAGUCCGGGAGAGGUGAGUGGAACUGUGAGUGUAGAGGUGAAAUUCGUAGAUAUUCGCAAGAACACCAGUGGCGAAGGCGGCUCACUGGCCCGAUACUGACGCUGAGGUGCGAAAGCGUGGGGAGCAAACAGG
rnacentral:rRNA from 1 species